rnacentral:rRNA from 1 species
AGUGAACGCUGGCGGUAGGCUAACACAUGCAAGUCGAACGGCAGCACAGGAGAGCUUGCUCUCUGGGUGGCGAGUGGCGGACGGGUGAGGAAUACAUCGGAAUCUACUCUGUCGUGGGGGAUAACGUAGGGAAACUUACGCUAAUACCGCAUACGACCUACGGGUGAAAGCAGGGGACCUUCGGGCCUUGCGCGAUUGAAUGAGCCGAUGUCGGAUAAGCUAGUUGGGGGGGUAAAGGCCCACCAAGGCGACGAUCCGUAGCUGGUCUGAGAGGAUGAUCAGCCACACUGGAGCUGAGACACGGUCCAGACUCCUACGGGAGGCAGCAGUGGGGAAUAUUGGACAAUGGGCGCAAGCCUGAUCCAGCCAUACCGCGUGGGUGAAGAAGGCCUUCGGGUUGUAAAGCCCUUUUGUUGGGAAAGAAAUCCAGCUGGCUAAUACCCGGUUGGGAUGACGGUACCCAAAGAAUAAGCACCGGCUAACUUCGUGCCAGCCGCCGCGGUAA